UUCUCCAUCGGCUAGAACUUUAAAGAAACCAGUUAUCAUUAAGGUCAACAUCUUUCCAACUGAUGAAGAUGUACUUUAGAAGGCGACGCCCCAAGGGAAGAUCACAGAGACCAAUCAGACGUAUUAAUCUGUUUGAUUAUAUAUUUUAUUGGAUCUGUCAUGGAGGGCGAUGAAAAAUCUUAAAGCAAUAGGGCUGGAGCAAGGAGACCGAAGCUCUCUUGGAAGCAGUGUUGUGGGCUAAAGACAAAGGGCUGGCAAAUAUACAUUUAGAGGGAGAUUGCUUAAAUGUGGUCGAUACUUGAAAUGGAAAAUUGGCAGCGGUGAAAUGACCUACAACAUUAUAAGUGAUGCUCUAGGUAUUCUUACUCCUACCAAUGGGUUGUUACUGGAAAAGAGCUUCGGUUUUCGGCUCCAGGUAUUCUUAGCUCUUUUAAUAAGUGGACUUGUUCUUAUGUGAUGCAUGCAACUAAGAUUGCCGACUCUACAGCUGAAUUUGCAAGAGAAAAUGACUUUUGUUAAA